rnacentral:rRNA from 1 species
UAGGGAAUCUUCCACAAUGGACGAAAGUCUGAUGGAGCAACGCCGCGUGAGUGAAGAAGGGUUUCGGCUCGUAAAACUCUGUUGUUAAAGAAGAACAUAUCUGAGAGUAACUGUUCAGGUAUUGACGGUAUUUAACCAGAAAGCCACGGCUAAACUACGUGCCGG